GAGAAGGAGAAGGAGAAGGAGAAGGAGAAGGAGAAGGAGAAGGAGAAGGAGAAGGGAGUGAAGGGGCAUGAAGGGCAUGAAGAGCAUGAAGGUCCCGGUGGUGUGGGCAGAGGCUGUUGAGAGCGCGUGAGGCAAGGGUGUGAGGCACGCAAGUGUGUUGUGGGCGUGUGGAGUUGUGGUGGUGCCGGGUCGGGUGUUGGGCCUCGGGUGUUUUGAAGAGUGCAAAGAAGAGGAGGAGCGCAGGGGUGAGUGUGUAAGAAGUGUGUUGAGGAAAAGGUGAGGAGCGGAGGGUGAAAAAAAUGUGUAGCCCAGGCUGGCCUCGAACUCGUGAUCUUCCUACCUCUGCCUCCUUCAGCAAAUCCUACCGGCGUGCGCUACCACUACUGGCAGCCAUCGGCCCCCGCUACGCCCUACUUGUACCGUACCAACGAUGACGACACAACACCCGACACGCUCCCAUACUCCUACCUGACCACUGCCCACACACCACCAGCGCAGCCUCACCUCACAUCCACCGCAAGCCCGCACACACAACCACAACACCAACAGCUAUGCUCCCUUUACGCCCGCCCAACACUCUUCACUCCCUCACUCCCUCACUCCCUCCCUGCCUGCCUCACACCCGACUCCGGUGCCACGGCGACACCUGCCGCUCGCGCCGGGAACCGACACUCGCAUCCGACCCUGGACCGCGAACGUCCAUGUGGUGCCUGUCCUAGUACAAUGAUCCAGGUUCCUCAGCUUCCCUUCCCUGGGAAAAUAUCCCUGGUUCCAGUUGAGAACUCCGAUCCUGUGUCGAGGCUGAACCCCCAACAACAGUGAACAUGGAAAUUUAAGAAAAUUGGAAUGGAAAAAGCAGAAAGUCAAGAGAAAUAAGGAAAUAAGUGCAUUAUAAACACAUUUUUUUUCCUUCUCCUACUGAGUCUGUAUGUACAGAAGGGUCUAGG
rnacentral:lncRNA from 1 species